rnacentral:rRNA from 1 species
UAGGGAAUAUUGGUCAAUGGGCGGAAGCCUGAACCAGCCAUGCCGCGUGCAGGAAGACGGCCUUCUGGGUUGUAAACUGCUUUUAUCAGGGAACAAAUAGGCCAUGCGUGGCAAGUUGAGUGUACCUGAAGAAUAAGCACCGGCUAACUCCGUGCCAGCAGCCGCGGUAAUACGGAGGGUGCAAGCGUUGUCCGGAUUUAUUGGGUUUAAAGGGUACGUAGGCGGAUUUUUAAGUCCGUGGUGAAAGCCUACAGCUUAACUGUAGAACUGCCAUGGAUACUGGAAAUCUUGAACUCAGUUGAGGUAAGCGGAAUUUAUGAUGUAGCGGUGAAAUGCAUAGAUAUCAUAAAGAACACCUAUUGCGAAGGCAGCUUGCUGGACUUGAAUUGACGCUGAGGUACGAAAGCGUGGGGAGCGAACAGGAUUAGAUACCCGCGUAGUCC